rnacentral:rRNA from 1 species
GAUGAACGCUAGCGGAAGGCUUAAUACAUGCAAGUCGAGCGGUAGGUGGCUUCGGCCAUUGAGAGCGGCGCACGGGUGAGUAACGCGUACAUGACCUGCCUGUCAGAAGGGGAUAGCCCUGGGAAACUGGGAUUAAUACCCUAUGGUAUUGAUAUUAUGAAUGAUAUCAAUUAAAGUUGAGGCGCUGACAGAUGGAUGUGCGUCUGAUUAGCUAGUUGGUAGGGUAACGGCCUACCAAGGCGACGAUCAGUAGGGGGCGUGAGAGCGUGGUCCCCCACACGGGUACUGAGACACGGACCCGACUCCUACGGGAGGCAGCAGUAAGGAAUAUUGGUCAAUGCCCGCAAGGGUGAACCAGCCAUUCCGCGUGGAGGAUGAAGGCCCUAUGGGUUGUAAACUUCUUUUAGAUGGGAAGAAAUGCUAGAUGUAUCUGGUACUGACGGUACCAUCAGAAUAAGCACCGGCUAACUCCGUGCCAGCAGCCGCGGUAA